rnacentral:lncRNA from 1 species
GUUUAUUUAUUUCAUAAUUAAUAAAUAAAUCUUGAGGGAGCAUUUGUAAAAAAAGAAAAAAAAUAAAAAUAAAAUUAAAGAAAAUGGAUUAGGUCGAUUUAAAUCAUUAGCUCAAUUAAAUUUUAAGUCUACUAAAGUCCAUAAAAAAUCAAAGGUCCAUCUCACUCUUUAAAUAAAUAAAUCAUUACUCAAUUAUUUAUUUUAAUUAAAUAUAAUUGAGUAUUAUCAAAAUUAACAUAAAAAUUUUCCUAUAAAUAGGAUAAAUGGUCCAGAAGACAAAAAAGGCAAAGCAAGAGGAAGCGAAAGCAGAUAAGGCAACAAGAAGUGUUGAAGAAAUUCCAAGGUUAGAGGAAGGGAAGAAAUUCUCUCAGAUCUAUUACGAAGAUCAAAAUCUUCUUCAAAUUAAAUAAGUUCAGGCCAAGUCCAAGAAAAUUCAAAUCUUUCUUCAAAUCAAGUUCAAGUUCAGACUCUGGAGUUCAAGUACCGAACAAGUCAAGUAUCAACAAAUCAAAUUUUCAACAAAUUCUCGAAUACCAGGAUUUAAGCCGUGUGGCCCUUGUCUUCAAAUAUUUAGAUAAUUAAUUAUAGGAUUUUUACAAUUUUUGCAAUUACAGGAAGGUUGACAUCACUUGUAUUUUAUCAAAAUACAAUUUGUAAUAAUUUCUUUAUUUUAAUACACGAAAUUCGUCG